rnacentral:rRNA from 1 species
UGGGGAAUUUUGCGCAAUGGGCGAAAGCCUGACGCAGCAACGCCGCGUGAGUGAUGAAGGCCUUCGGGUCGUAAAGCUCUGUCAGAGGGAAAGAAGUGUGGGGCGGCUAAUACCCGUUUCACUUGACGGUACCCUCAAAGGAAGCACCGGCUAACUCCGUGCCAGCAGCCGCGGUAAUACGGAGGGUGCGAGCGUUGUUCGGAAUUAUUGGGCGUAAAGCGCGUGUAGGCGGCUCCUUAAGUCUGAUGUGAAAGCCCUGGGCUCAACCCGGGAAGUGCAUUGGAAACUGGGGAACUUGAAUACGGGAGAGGGUAGUGGAAUUCCUGGUGUAGGAGUGAAAUCCGUAGAUAUCAGGAGGAACACCGGUGGCGAAGGCGGCUGCCUGGACCGAUAUUGACGCUGAGACGCGAAAGCGUGGGGAGCAAACAGG